AACGAACGCUGGCGGCAGGCCUAACACAUGCAAGUCGAGCGAACCCUUCGGGGUUAGCGGCGGACGGGUUGGUAACGCGUGGGAAUAUACCCUUUGGUACGGAAUAGCCUCGGGAAACUGAGAGUAAUACCGUAUGUGCCCUUCGGGGGAAAGAUUUAUCGCCAAAGGAUUAGCCCGCGUUGGAUUAGAUAGUUGGUGGGGUAAUGGCCUACCAAGUCUACGAUCCAUAGCUGGUUUGAGAGGAUGAUCAGCAACACUGGGACUGAGACACGGCCCAGACUCCUACGGGAGGCAGCAGUGGGGAAUCUUAGACAAUGGGCGCAAGCCUGAUCUAGCCAUGCCGCGUGGACGACGAAGGCCUUAGGGUUGUAAAGUCCUUUCAGAUGGGAAGAUAAUGACGGUACCAUCAGAAGAAGCCCCGGCUAACUCCGUG
rnacentral:rRNA from 1 species